rnacentral:lncRNA from 1 species
AGCUGGCCCCUAAAAAUAUGUAAACUAGUACAGUGAUAAUGGACUCAUACUAAACUCCGAAUUAUACACAGAAACUAAAAUUAAAAAUCAUACAAGACUAACAACGGCCAGAGGCUCCUGACUUGGGACAGGCGCAAAAUUGUGGCGGGGUUAAACAUGUUUUAUAAUUUAUGAGAUCUCAACCCUCCCCCUAUACCUCUAGCCAAUGUAGAAAAGUAAACGCAUAA